UACGUAGGGUGCGAGCGUUGUCCGGAAUUAUUGGGCGUAAAGAGCUCGUAGGCGGCUUGUCGCGUCGGAUGUGAAAGCCCGGGGCUUAACUCCGGGUCUGCAUUCGAUACGGGCAGGCUAGAGUGUGGUAGGGGAGAUCGGAAUUCCAGGUGUAGCGGUGAAAUGCGUAGAUAUCUGGAGGAACACCGGUGGCGAAGGCGGCAUCCUGGACCAACACUGACGCUGAGGAGCGAAAGCCAGGGGAGCAAACGGGG
rnacentral:rRNA from 1 species